UCCCUGUUGCCAAGGCAGUCUCCUAUGACACUUGUAACAUAGGACGAGGGUUGCGCUCGUUACCCGACUUAACGGAACAUCUCAAGACACGAGCUGACGGCAACCAUGCAGCACCUGUUCUGCUGUCUUAAUAGAAAGCCUCUGUUUCUAGAGGCGGUCAACAGAAUGUCAAGCCUAGGUGAGGUUCCUCGCUUAUCGUCGAAUUAAACCAGACGCUCCACCGCUUGUGCGAGUCCCCGUCUAUUCCUUUGAGUUUUAAGCUUGCGCUCGUACUUCCCAGGCGGAACACUUAAUGCGUUAGCUUCGUCACGUGGAGGGUCGAUACUCCACAUGACUAGUGUUCAGCGUUUACGGUGUGGACUA
rnacentral:misc_RNA from 1 species